rnacentral:ncRNA from 1 species
AAAAUAAAUGGUGAUGACGUUCGCCGUAACUAAUUGACUAUCAAUUUGAUGACGUCUACUUUCAA